rnacentral:lncRNA from 1 species
AAUAGUUUUCAAAUCCGGACCCGGACCCGGACCCGAUGAAAUAUCCGAUAGUAAAUAAAAAAAAAUAAACUUUUGAAGUUGAAGGAUCAAUUUUAAUAUGACUUAUAGAUGAUGAGUCACUAUGUAUUUUCAUCCUAAUGAAACCCUAGCCGUCUCUUUUAUUCAUUACUUUUUUCUAAUUUUUUUACUCUUUGUUUUCUACUCUUUUUUUUCAUUUUAUUUCCGCCAACAAUAUUUCAUUGUCAACAAUAUAGUUUGUUUAUUGAUUAUUUAAUAAAGUUUAUAAAAAAAUAUAUUUAUACGGAUAUUCGUACCCGAUUUAGACCCGAUCCAUAUCCGAUUUUGAACGGGUAGUAUACGGGUAGUCACUAUCCAGACCCGCUCAAAUAGACCCGAUGGGUAUAUUAGAAACUUUAGUACCCAGACCCGGACCCGACCCGAAGUUAAAUGGGUAGGGUAUAUAUAUUUUUUUGUAACCAUUUUUUUUUAGGGUAUGGGUACAGUAUAUUAAUUACUCAGACCCGACCCGAUCCACGGACAUCUUUAGAUUACAAAUUGCGAAAUAUUUUCAAGCCAAACAGAGCCUAAGAAAGUAUAUGAAUGGCCGCCCAAGUCACCACCUCUCUUCAAAGCAGAUGACCUUCAAGGCGAAUGUUCCAGCAAUAAUUUUGUUAAACAAAGUUUUAUCCGCGGUAGUGUGUAGGAGUUGCCGAGUUAUGACAUGUAAAAUUAAUAUUAUCUAUUCAAAUCUCAUAUCCAUCUAACUACGACGUUAAAGGAAGAUUUGGGAGACCAAAGGGUGACACGUCUUCCCCCAAACCCUCCUUUACUCUCUCUCACUCUCUCUCUCUCUCUAUAUAUAUAUAUAAUUUUAUAUUUUGAUAUCAAAAUUUAAAAUUUGAAUACUUUCCAAUUUUAUAUUUUAAAUUAUAAAUUAUAAAUUUAACUUAUAAUAUUUAUUUUUAAAUUUUAAACUUCGAAAUUUAAAAUUUUAAAUCUCUAAACUCUAUUAAAUUAAUUAAUUAAUUUUAUUAAUAAUUCAUUAUAUAUGAUAUAAUUAACUAAUUUAUAAUAAUACGCAUAAUAAAUCGCGUAAUAAAAUCUAACCUGAUAGAUGCAAUUUAAAUCACAUAAAAUAUAGUUGUGUAAAAAAAUACAGUAUUUAAAUUUCAGAGUAAAAUUUUAGAAAUAUAGUGUAUUUCUGUGUAUAUAUAAUUAAUUUUAUUAAAUAAUUUUUUUUACAAUUUUAUUUUUCUUCUAUUUAUUAAUUUUUUUAAAAUUAUUUUGAUAGAUUUAUCUCAAAUUAUGUUUAUAUAAAUCUUUAUAAAAUAAAUUAUUGUAUAAAUUUGUUUUGCGCAUAUACCAAUUUUAAUGAUUUUUAUUUAAAUAGAUUUAACUAUUAAAUUAUUUUUAUAUAACUUUUAUUUAAUUAAUAAUUAGAUUUAUAAAAAUAUUAAAAAAAUAAAAUUUAUUAUAAAAAUAUUUUUAUAUCCACGGCAUCUCACUAGUACUACAAAAAAAGAAUGAUUCAAUGGAAUGGAUAAUGUA